UGGGGAAUAUUGCGCAAUGGGGGAAACCCUGACGCAGCAACGCCGCGUGAAGGAUGAAGGUUUUCGGAUUGUAAACUUCUUUGAUGAGGGACGAAACAAAUGACGGUNCCUCAAAAACAAGCCACGGCUAACUGCGUGCCAGCAGCCGCGGUAAUACGUAGGUGGCGAGCGUUGUCCGGAAUUACUGGGUGUAAAGGGCGGGUAGGCGGGGAUGUAAGUCAGAUGUGAAAUACCGAGGCUUAACUGCGGGGCUGCAUCUGAAACUACGUUUCUUGAGNGUCGGAGAGGAAAGCGGAAUUCGCAGUGUAGCGGUGAAAUGCGUAGNUAUUGGGAGGAACACAAGUGGCGAAGGCGGCUUUCUGGACGNNAACUGNNNNNNNNGCGCGAAAGCGUGGGGA
rnacentral:rRNA from 1 species